rnacentral:rRNA from 1 species
UACGAAGGGGGCUAGCGUUGCUCGGAAUCACUGGGCGUAAAGCGCACGUAGGCGGAUUGUUAAGUCAGGGGUGAAAUCCUGGAGCUCAACUCCAGAACUGCCUUUGAUACUGGCGAUCUUGAGUCCGGGAGAGGUGAGUGGAAUUCCUGGUGUAGCGGUGAAAUGCGCAAGAUAUCAGGAGGAACACCAAUGGCGAAGGCAGCUCGCUGGGACGGUACUGACGCUGAGACGCGAAAGCGUGGGGAGCAAACAGG